AUUUCCUUCAUGACUUAGGUGAUGCCAUCUUGAUUCGAAAAUAGUGUCGCAUGAGUUGUGUGAUACGGAGGAUUAUUGUGUUUAUAUUUUAUACAGAGAUAGCUUUUUGCGUUAUUGUAAUUUGAACAGAAAGGGACGCUUUUGAGGGUCGUUCUUGGUCAGAGUUUUGUUGAGUGGUUCAUUCAUUCACAUUUCUUUUCUGGACGAGGAGCUGCUGGCGGUGCUAACAAAGGAAUAACUGGACCCGAGCAGUUGUUUAUUGCUCGACUGAGGAAAGAUGGCCGAGAUGUACAUUCGAGUUGCGGAGGAGGAGAAUGAGGAGCCGAUGGAGAUCCCGUCAGAGGAUGAUGGCACGGUUUUGCUUUCCACAGUGUCCGCUCAGUUUCCAGGGGCUUGUGGUCUGCGCUUCCGGAGCCCAGUGUCUCAGUGCAUGAGGGGGGUUCGUCUGGUGGACGGCAUUCUGCAUGCACCUGAGAACGGCUGGGGAAACCUAGUCUAUGUGGUUAAUUACCCAAAAGAAACUGUUCUGCCAGAUAAUAAGAGGAAGAUGGAUGAGAUCGAUGCUUCAUCUGCGACCAAGAUCAAGAGAGGAGAUCAGAAGACUUCAGAUCUGAUUGUGCUGGGUCUGCCAUGGAAGACUUCAGAGCAAGACUUAAAAGACUACUUCGGUACAUUUGGGGAAGUCAUCAUGGUGCAGGUCAAGCGGGAUGUGAAGACAGGAAAUUCAAAAGGGUUUGGCUUUGUGAGGUUUGGAGACUGGGAGACUCAGAGUAAGGUGAUGACACAGCGGCACAUGAUUGAUGGCCGGUGGUGCGACUGCAAACUGCCCAACUCAAAGCAAGGUAUAGAUGAACCAAUGAGGAGCCGUAAAGUGUUUGUGGGCCGCUGCACAGAGGACAUGACUGCCGAUGAGCUCCGUCAGUUCUUCAUGCAGUACGGAGAGGUCACAGACGUCUUUAUUCCCAAACCGUUCAGAGCGUUUGCUUUUGUCACCUUUGCAGAUGACCAGGUUGCCGCCGCUUUGUGUGGAGAAGAUCUGAUCAUCAAGGGCGUCAGUGUGCAUAUCUCAAACGCUGAGCCCAAACACAAUAACACUAGGCAGAUGAUGGAGCGGGCAGGGCGCUUUGGGAAUGGGUUCGGAGGUCAGGGUUUUGCAGGCAGCCGAAGCAACAUGGGUGGUGGUGGUGGGGGUAGCUCCAGCAGCUUGGGAAAUUUUGGCAAUUUCAAUCUAAACCCGGCCAUGAUGGCUGCCGCCCAGGCUGCCUUGCAGAGUAGUUGGGGUAUGAUGGGAAUGCUAGCUCAGCAGAAUCAGUCGGGUACUUCAGGCACAAGCACAAGUGGCACCAGUUCCUCUCGAGACCAAGCCCAAACAUAUAGCUCGGCUAACAGCAAUUACGGCAGCAGCUCAGCUGCUCUCGGCUGGGGCACCGGCUCUAACUCGGGCGCUGCCAGUGCUGGCUUUAACUCCAGUUUUGGCUCUAGUAUGGAGUCCAAGUCAUCGGGGUGGGGUAUGUAAGUGCUUUGUGUUUGAAGUGUCGGUAUUCCUAGCGUGUUUUGGUAAGUAUUUUAUUUCGAGAGACUUAUCUCAUCACGUGUGUUUGGGAGUGGGGAUGGGUGAAAAGAGGGAGUCUGGGGACGAAACAAAGAAAAAAAGAAUGUUUUGUACACUGAAUGGGAUUUGAGUUAGUGUUUGAAGUGAGAUGUUAACAAGGGUGCUAUGUUAAUGUACCAUCUUUGAUGUUUAGUUUUUUUCUCCCCAAUGUUGUAUUGUCUUGACUGAUGCAAACAAAAGCAUUUCAACUGGAUUCUUAUAAUGCAUGUUCAAUCUGUGAAAAUGCAUGAGUUGCAUCAUUUAAUAGUACAAAUCAAGAAAAGAAACCUGCAUUGGAAAGAAUCUGGUUGAAACCUGAACAUGUAUAUUAUUGUAAGUUCAGCUUUAUUUCAGUCCAGUUGUUUGGAAAUCCUUUAAAACAAGCCUUCAUCAACAUCUCUUCUGCAGUUGACAUCUGUGGGGUUUGCCUGGGAAGAGCGCCCUCUAUGGCAGCACAGUGUGGCUGAGGUCAUUAUGUCACCUUCCUCCCCAUGUCUAAAUGCUCUCAUCGCACGGCUCGAUGACACGGGGCCUGGAAAAUGGCUGGCUGCAACUGAACCCCAGGCGGGAAGUCCGUUUGGGGAUGGAGGAAGAUGGAGGAUGCUGUGGUUCUGCACCUCUGGUAACAGCCACCGACACGGUAGACCGUAGCCGAAUCUGAUGGGUGAUUCACUAUAUGCAGUUUUCUCUGAUCGGUUUAAGCCUGAUGCAUUUCAAUCUGAAAUGUUGAAAUGGUUUCAGGCUUGAAUUGGUUUUGAGAAAAUGGCUCAUAUUCAAAUACAGGCAAAGGUUAAAGUUUUUACCAUGGUUUACUGGGUUUCUGGAGGAUUUGAAAGCCAUUUUAAGCUGUUUUAUACAAGUAACAUUUAAAAAUUAAAAAGUUUUAAGACCGCUUUCUACCAAUUUUAAACUAUUUAAAAUGAUUAUUUUACACGUAAUGAUUACAUUUUGAAUAUACCCACUCUCAAAAUUGAAAUACUGAAUUUUUUAUUAUAAUUUUAAAUGUUAAUCACAUUGCAAACAAAAAAAUCACCCAGUUUUUCCUACUUUGUUACAUUGCCAAUGUCUAAAGAAUCUUACAUCAAGAAUGAUUUGCUUGUGAAGAAUCUUACACUAACUACAAAAUCAGAAAGAAGCAAGAAUGAAAUUAUCAAAGUGAAGCCAUUGUGAUUUAAACCAACAUCUACCAGUUGGCUUAAGUCAAUUCAAAUGGAAAUACAUUUCCCCCACAGAUACCCUGCUAACAAUUCCCCUCUCAUUUUGUAUCUCACGUAAAUGCAUCUUGAUUUGAGAAUGUUUAGAUGAAUUGCUUUCAGUGCAUCUGUAAUUUAGUGCUGACUUCAUUAAAUUGAAACUUUCUGCUGAUUUAAGACUCUUUUAAAGCUUUAAUUGUUGAAUUGGGCAUAUUUAUACCUGGUACCCACAGAAACCCUGCUUUUUAAAUGUGUAAAAUAUAAACAUUUGAGAGAAUCUGUAUUGUUUCAUAGACAUUCAAUCAAGUCAUGUUUACAGGAUUUAUUAUAAUUGCAAUAAAGCACAAAUGAACUCA